rnacentral:piRNA from 1 species
UGAUACAUGGAUCUGUACUCAGGGACAGGA